rnacentral:rRNA from 1 species
UACAGAGGGUGGCAAGCGUUAAUCGGAAUUACUGGGCGUAAAGCGUGCGUAGACGGUUGCGUAAGUCAGAUGUGAAAGCCCCGGGCUCAACCUGGGAAUUGCAUUUGAGACUGCGUAGCUAGGGUGCGGAAGAGGGAAGGCGGAAUUUCCGGUGUAGCGGUGAAAUGCGUAGAUAUCGGGAGGAACACCAGUGGCGAAGGCGGCUCCUGGACCGGUUCGUGACACUGAGGAGCGAAAGCGUGGGAGCGAACAGG